rnacentral:lncRNA from 1 species
GGGAAAAGAGAAAGUGAGACAUCUGAAAAGAAUUAGAGGAGAGAGAAAGGAUAAAGAAGAGAGAGAGAAGAGAGGGAAAACCUGCCACACGAAAGAGAAGAGAGAAAGAAGAGAGGAGAUGAGAGGUGAGAGCUCGCCACAUGGAGUGGGCGAAGGAAAAAAUGCAACAUGUAUUGAUGAAGCUAUCAAAAUAUAUAUUGUAUUGCCCGUCGAAGCCGGUUUCGAAUCUCCACACAAAAAAGGAAUUUUGCUGAGAGAGAAAGAAAGGGGUUUGGGCAAUGAUUUGAUUGUUUAGACGCUAGAAAAAGAAGAGAGAGAAGAAUUUAGAGAUAGAAAGAUUUAAAGAGAGGAGGAUCUAGGAAGAGAAAGAUCUAGAAAGGGGGAAAAUAGAAAGAGAGACAUCUGAAGAAAGUUAAAGGACAGAGAAAGAAGAGGGAAGAGAGAGAUGAGAGAAGAGAGAAGAGAAAGAUGAGAGGAGGGUACAGGUGAAAGCCCACCACGUGGAGAGGGUGAAAAGAAAA